rnacentral:rRNA from 1 species
GACGAACGCUGGCGGCGUGCUUAACACAUGCAAGUCGAACGGAAAGGCCCUGCUUUUGUGGGGUGCUCGAGUGGCGAACGGGUGAGUAACACGUGAGUAACCUGCCCUUGACUUUGGGAUAACUUCAGGAAACUGGGGCUAAUACCGGAUAGGAGCUCCUGCUGCAUGGUGGGGGUUGGAAAGUUUCGGCGGUUGGGGAUGGACUCGCGGCUUAUCAGCUUGUUGGUGGGGUAGUGGCUUACCAAGGCUUUGACGGGUAGCCGGCCUGAGAGGGUGACCGGCCACAUUGGGACUGAGAUACGGCCCAGACUCCUACGGGAGGCAGCAGUGGGGAAUAUGGCACAAUGGGCGGAAGCCUGAUGCAGCAACGCCGCGUGCGGGAGGACGGCCUUCGGGUGGUAAACCGCUUUCGCCUGUGACGAAGCGUGAGUGACGGUAAUGGGUAAAGAAGCACCGGCUAACUAUGU